GUUCAGUUACGGACACUGCAGCGCUGCACUCGUACACUCCAUGAUGACUUCUACCUUGGUAACAGCUUUAUUCCUCUGCAGCUUUACCUGGAUCUCUGGCUCAGCGUCUAAGUCUCAGACUGUGAAGGUCCAGUCUGGUGAAGACGUCAAACUGCUGUGCCCAAACAUUUCUAAACAUAACAGUUUGACUUUCUGGUUCAGACUGGUCAACAGGACCGAGGUCAGCUGUAUCUCUGUUAUGUUUGACUCUAACAGCCCAGUUCGCUUCUGCGAUGGAUAUCAAACUGGAAAUUUUGAAAUGAGCUCCAACAUCUCUACCCUCUUUCUCAACAUCAAUCAAGUGAAUGUAUCUGACUCUGGACAGUAUUUCUGUGCAUUUUACAUGAGUGGACCUUUAAUUUUCAGAGUGAUUUAUUUAAACGUUGACGGUAAGAUCACUGUAAAUUAUUUGGUUAAUUCCUCCCACAAUGCAAAUAUAUUUUCAAAGUUUUAUUGAUACCUGUGCAAAAUGUGACUAUUUAAAUAUCAAAAUAUGAUUAUGAUGAAAAUCUGCCAAAACAACUACAUUUUUCUUCAUUUCAUUAAAAGGCGACGGUGAAUUUGAUGAUGCUGUGGACAGCGAGUCUCAAAAAAUGUCUAAUGUAAAACUAACGCUGGCGACUGUGAUCCUGGGCGGUCUGACUGUUUUCCUCAUGAUGGUCAUCGCUGGUCUGCUUCUUAAAAUCAGGAAACUUCAGAAAGCUGAUGAUGACAAAAAAGAUUCUAAAC